rnacentral:rRNA from 1 species
CCUACGGGUGGCAGCAGUGAGGAAUAUUGGUCAAUGGACGAGAGCCUGAACCAGCCAAGUCGCGUGAAGGAUGACGGCUCUAUGGUUUGUAAACUUCUUUUAUAUGGGAAUAAAGUGUGGAACGUGUUCCUUUUUGUAUGUACCAUAUGAAUAAGCAUCGGCUAACUCCGUGCCAGCAGCCGCGGUAAUACGGAGGAUGCGAGCGUUAUCCGGAUUUAUUGGGUUUAAAGGGUGCGUAGGUGGUUAAUUAAGUCAGAGGUGAAAGUUUGUGGCUCAACCAUAAAAUUGCCGUUGAAACUGGUAGACUUGAGUAUAUUAGAGGUAGGCGGAAUGCGUGGUGUAGCGGUGAAAUGCAUAGAUAUCACGAAGAACUCCGAUUGCGAAGGCAGCUUACUAAACUACAACUGACACUGAAGCACGAAAGCGUGGGGAUCAAACAGGAUUAGAUACCCGUGUAGUC